rnacentral:snoRNA from 1 species
UGCAGCCUUGUCAAAUUCCGUGUUUUCUCUACAAUGGAACUGUACUGGCCAAAAUGGCUGCCACAGUGAGUAGUUUGUGAGCCCCACAUCCCUCUGGCAUGGUUGCUGGGGAUAAAUGUGUACUACAGACAAUU